rnacentral:lncRNA from 1 species
UACUAACAUUUUUGUUGUUCUGUUUUGGUUGUGUUAGUGUGUUCUUGUCAAGUGUUACAUAGAAAUUAUGUUUUUGUUUCUGUCUCCAAUAUGUACUACUUUCAUGCAUUGGGUAAAAAUACUCAUUUACUAGAAAGGGCAGAGCAAGUUUUCUAAAAACUCAUUUACUACACUAUAUAAAUCUCAUAUAUCACUCAGUGACAUAAAAAUAUAUCAAUUUAAUAUACGAGAUAAAAUAAAUAGAAAUAACGUAGCUUGAUUAGUGAUUACUAAAUUAAAUAUCUUGGUGUGAA